UUCACUCUGCUCCAUUAGCCUUAGCUCUACUCUCUGACAUUACAAACACACAUUAAAGCUCAAUCUUUAUCUUACUGAUAAGAAUGUGGCUUAAAUAAGUGUUUAUGACCUCUCAGUAGUUUAGAGAUAAGGGUAAUUAGAUGAUCAGCACCAAGUG